UACGUAGGGGGCAAGCGUUGUCCGGAAUCAUUGGGCGUAAAGAGCGCGUAGGCGGUCCGGUAAGUCCGCUGUGAAAGUCAAGGGCUCAACCCUUGAAUGCCGGUGGAUACUGUCGGGCUAGAGUCCGGAAGAGGCGAGUGGAAUUCCUGGUGUAGCGGUGAAAUGCGUAGAUAUCGAGAGGAACACCUGCGGCGAAGGCGGGUAGCUGGGCCGACACUGACGCUGAGGCGCGAAAGCCAGGGGAGCGAACGGG
rnacentral:rRNA from 1 species